GAUGAACGCUGGCGGCGUGCCUAAUACAUGCAAGUCGAGCGAACGGACGAGAAGCUUGCUUCUCUGAUGUUAGCGGCGGACGGGUGAGUAACACGUGGAUAACCUACCUAUAAGACUGGGAUAACUUCGGGAAACCGGAGCUAAUACCGGAUAAUAUUUUGAACCGCAUGGUUCAAAAGUGAAAGACGGUCUUGCUGUCACUUAUAGAUGGAUCCGCGCUGCAUUAGCUAGUUGGUAAGGUAACGGCUUACCAAGGCAACGAUGCAUAGCCGACCUGAGAGGGUGAUUGGCCACACUGGAACUGAGACACGGUCCAGACUCCUACGGGAGGCAGCAGUAGGGAAUCUUCCGCAAUGGGCGAAAGCCUGACGGAGCAACGCCGCGUGAGGGAUGAAGGUCUACGGAUCGUAAAACUCUGUUAUUAGGGAAGAACAUAUGUGUAAGUAACUGUGCACAUCUUGACGGUACCUAAUCAGAAAGCCACGGCUAACUACGUG
rnacentral:rRNA from 1 species